AACCACCUGACCCCAUGCCGAACUCAGAAGUGAAACGCUGUAGCGCCGAUGGUAGUGUGGCAUUCGCCAUGCGAGAGUAGGACACUGCCAGGC
rnacentral:rRNA from 3 species